AAAAUAAAAGUAGCAAAGAAUUUCAGAAAAGGCUGCCUUAAUCCUGUCCCAAUCCCUGCUCCCUCUCUGGACAGCUCCCGACAUGGCUGAACAGAUCAAACAAAUCUGAAACAAAAUGCUUUCACCCAAACAGGCAGAACCCCAACAGGGGUUCAUGGCAAACAUAAAAACAUUUCCUGACAGAGUUCUACCCAUCUGAGUCACAAGCCCUGAAAGUCCAAUGCGAAAGCUAAACCACCAUUCAUGGAAUACACCCUCAGCUCUGUUGAUUGCUGAGUGGUGGCAAGAAUUAGAUGAGUGUUGUGGAAUCUCUUUCAAAGAAGACAGGCUACCCUCCACUUGGUCCAGCGCUUAAGAGCAUGCUUUUCCAAUACAAAAUGUUCUUGCCAGCUAAAUUUUUAUAUCUCAUAUUUCCUUACUAAUCAGGGUUAUUGAGAAGGUAGCAGCAAGCCAACCUCGGAAGCUACUCAACAGCAGCUCUUCCAAAUUGGAUGCCAGUCAAGGCCUUGGCAAAGAGAAGGCACUGAUGGACAGUCUCCACAAAGUUGGAGUGGAAUAAAGGCCUGAAGAUAGCAAAGAAAAGUGUGAAACUCUGACCUGAAUCUGACCAAAUCAAAGGUUUCUGCCUGAGUCUGCAGAACCUGAAAACAGCCAUUUGAAGGAGGAUGAAGUGAACCAUGCAUUGCAGCAAGAUCUACUGACUCUUGUGGCUCGUGGCCCUCCCUGGGAUGGAGGGAGAAGCCGUCUCAGUCUUCAAUAGUUUGUGCUGCUCUGCUGCUUAGGUCAGCAGAAUGGGAUUCUUACUGAGGAAACACAACAUAGGAGCAAUACAUCAUCAGAACCUCUCUCAUUGGCUGAUCAGGACUCCGGUGGUCAAAAAACGUUUACAUACAAACCUCAGAUACUUGACUUAACAUUUUGUGAGUUCCAUCCUUCCAGGUACCUUGGAUCUCCCCGUGCCUAGAGUGACAGACGUACAUCUCCAAAUACUAACAGACAGCUUUGUCAGCCUCA